rnacentral:lncRNA from 1 species
UACUGCCGGGGGCUGGCGGGGCCGGCCAGCUGCUCCGAGUCUGGGGCGCCAAGCCCGCGCCCACCCGGAACUCUAGCUGGCCCGCAAGCACAGUGCGCAGCCCGGGUUCCCGCCUGUGCCUCUCCCUCCACACCUCCCCACAGGCUGAGGGAGCCGGCUCGGGCCUCCGCCAUCCCAGGAAGGGGUUCCCACAGUGCAGCGGCGGGCUGAAGGGCUCCUCAAGCGCGGCCAGAGUGGGCGCUGAGGCCGAGGAGGCACUGAGAGCGAGCAAGGGCUGCGAGGGCUGCCGCACGCUGUCACCUCUCAAGUAGUUAAGAGAUACCCGCUCUGUGCUUUGGAGACCCCCUGCCUCUGUCUCUGUACAGGGGAGCUUCUUCCUUUGUUCUUCCCACUUCUAUCUUGCCUACUAAACUCUGGGCUCCUUAAAACCGCUCCACGUAUGUCCGUGUCGUUUUGUCUAAGCUGGCAUGAGGACCAAGAACCUUGGUGUUCCUCCACUCAUCGGAGCCGUAUCAGUAAGUUUUUGUUGAAAGCCAGAUGCCAGGUAAAAGGAACUCAGGUUCAAGAGGUACACGUGCAAUUUUCCACAUGGGCAAAUUGCAUGUCGUGGGGCUUUGGUGUACGGGACAUUUUGUCAUUUAGGAGAGGCUCAAAGAGUGAGAAAAAGACAAAUGCAAGAAUCUGGAUCCAAGAGUCCUGGCUAGCAGACGAGAUAGGGAUGGUGGAGCAUUAACACAGUGCAUUCGAAGCAGUGCAGUGGGAAGGGAAGGUAGAGAGAAGUGCUGAAGAAACAUUUUAAUAUGGAGGAUCAGUGCUGAGUCAUCACAUGGAGGACCUUGAAUCCACAGUGUACUUUGGGUGAUAAAGACAAAAUCAUUUAAAAAAAAAUCGCCAAUAUUUGGCAUUGUUUGUUAUGAGAGAAUAAAUUUACUACUUCUGACGGGAAAACACAUUCUUCUACAAUCAAUACAUGGGAUGUGGACUGAUUGAAGGUUCCCUUGGUCACAGUGAUUGUUCUUGGCUGAAAUUGUUAAAAUUGGAAAGAAGAUGUUUUCUUCUGGCAUUACUAAGCUGGACCUCUUGGUGGUUACAACCUGAAGAGGGGUUGUUUCAAAAUGAACCACUUCAGAGCAAAGCAGGGCUGAAAGCUGGAGAGAGUAAAGGGAAAGCGUUCUGAUUUCAUCCUACAUCUGGAUCCAUUCAUAUCCAAUGUUGGAACGCACCUUUUCAGCCAAGGAUGAUGGCAAGUGCUCAGGGGGCUGAAGCAGGAGAAAACUUGAGCUCAAGAAUUUGAGGCUGCAGUAAGCCAAAUGGAACCACUGCACUCCAGUCUAGGUGACAGUCUAAAAUGAAAAGAAUAACCCGUAUCUUGAGAUUGUGAGUUAUUAUAAAAUUAAAUAUUUUGGUUAAAACUUCACUUGGUAGCAAGUGAUCAGGCAAGCUGAAUUAUUUAAAGAAAGAUGAAAAUUAGAGAAAAUAAAAUUCUGAAAAAUGUUGGCAUAAUUUUUGUGAAAAUGUAAUAAAUCCUUUGCAAUUU